rnacentral:tRNA from 1 species
GGAGGCAUGGCCCAGUGGUCAGGCACCAGACUGAUACUCUGGAGACCGAUGCUCACCUCCA